rnacentral:rRNA from 1 species
GAUGAACGCUGGCGGCGUGCCUAAUACAUGCAAGUCGAGCGAACGGACGAGAAGCUUGCUUCUCUGAUGUUAGCGGCGGACGGGUGAGUAACACGUGGAUAACCUACCUAUAAGACUGGGAUAACUUCGGGAAACCGGAGCUAAUACCGGAUGAUAUUUUGAACCGCAUGGUUCAAAAGUGAAAGACGGUCUUGCUGUCACUUAUAGAUGGAUCCGCGCUGCAUUAGCUAGUUGGUAAGGUAACGGCUUACCAAGGCAACGAUGCAUAGCCGACCUGAGAGGGUGAUCGGCCACACUGGAACUGAGACACGGUCCAGACUCCUACGGGAGGCAGCAGUAGGGAAUCUUCCGCAAUGGGCGAAAGCCUGACGGGGCAACGCCGCGUGAGUGAUGAAGGUCUUCGGAUCGUAAAACUCUGUUAUUAGGGAAGAACAUAUGUGUAAGUAACUGUGCACAUCUUGACGGUACCUAAUCAGAAAGCCACGGCUAACUACGUGCCAGCAGCCGCGGUAAUACGUAGGUGGCAAGCGUUAUCCGGAAUUAUUGGGCGUAAAGCGCGCGUAGGCGGUUUUUUAAGUCUGAUGUGAAAGCCCACGGCUCAACCGUGGAGGGUCAUUGGAAACUGGAAAACUUGAGUGCAGAAGAGGAAAGUGGAAUUCCAUGUGUAGCGGUGAAAUGCGCAGAGAUAUGGAGGAACACCAGUGGCGAAGGCGACUUUCUGGUCUGUAACUGACGCUGAUGUGCGAAAGCGUGGGGAUCAAACAGGAUUAGAUACCCUGGUAGUCCACGCCGUAAACGAUGAGUGCUAAGUGUUAGGGGGUUUCCGCCCCUUAGUGCUGCAGCUAACGCAUUAAGCACUCCGCCUGGGGAGUACGACCGCAAGGUUGAAACUCAAAGGAAUUGACGGGGACCCGCACAAGCGGUGGAGCAUGUGGUUUAAUUCGAAGCAACGCGAAGAACCUUACCAAAUCUUGACAUCCUUUGACAACUCUAGAGAUAGAGCCUUCCCCUUCGGGGGACAAAGUGACAGGUGGUGCAUGGUUGUCGUCAGCUCGUGUCGUGAGAUGUUGGGUUAAGUCCCGCAACGAGCGCAACCCUUAAGCUUAGUUGCCAUCAUUAAGUUGGGCACUCUAAGUUGACUGCCGGUGACAAACCGGAGGAAGGUGGGGAUGACGUCAAAUCAUCAUGCCCCUUAUGAUUUGGGCUACACACGUGCUACAAUGGACAAUACAAAGGGCAGCGAAACCGCGAGGUCAAGCAAAUCCCAUAAAGUUGUUCUCAGUUCGGAUUGUAGUCUGCAACUCGACUACAUGAAGCUGGAAUCGCUAGUAAUCGUAGAUCAGCAUGCUACGGUGAAUACGUUCCCGGGUCU